GCCAGCAGCCGCGGUAAUACGGAGGGAGCUAGCGUUGUUCGGAAUUACUGGGCGUAAAGCGUACGUAGGCGGUUAUUCAAGUCAGGGGUGAAAGCCUGGAGCUCAACUCCAGAACUGCCCUUGAAACUAGAUAACUAGAAUCUUGGAGAGGUGAGUGGAAUUCCGAGUGUAGAGGUGAAAUUCGUAGAUAUUCGGAAGAACACCAGUGGCGAAGGCGACUCACUGGAACAAGUAUUGACGCUGAGGUACGAAAGCGUGGGGGAGCAAACRGGAUUAGAUACCCUGGUAGUCCACGCCGUAAACGAUGAUAACUAGCUGUUCGGSUCUACGAGCUUGAGUGGCGCAGCUAACGCAUUAAGUUAUCCGCCUGGGGAGUACGGUCGCAAGAUUAAAACUCAAAGGAAUUGACGGGGGCCUGCACAAGCGGUGGAGCAUGUGGUUUAAUUCGAAGCAACGCGCAGAACCUUACCAGCGUUUGACAUCCUGAUCGCGGAUAGUGG
rnacentral:rRNA from 1 species